UACGAAGGGGGCUAGCGUUGCUCGGAAUCACUGGGCGUAAAGCGCACGUAGGCGGCUUACUAAGUCAGGGGUGAAAUCCUGGAGCUCAACUCCAGAACUGCCUUUGAUACUGGUGAGCUUGAGUCCGGAAGAGGUGAGUGGAACUGCGAGUGUAGAGGUGAAAUUCGUAGAUAUUCGCAAGAACACCAGUGGCGAAGGCGGCUCACUGGGCCGGUACUGACGCUGAGGUGCGAAAGCGUGGGGAGCAAACAGG
rnacentral:rRNA from 1 species